AAACUUGAGAGUUUGAUCCUGGCUCAGAACGAACGCUGGCGGCAUGCCUAACACAUGCAAGUCGAACGAUGCCUUCGGGCAUAGUGGCGCACGGGUGCGUAACGCGUGGGAAUCUGCCCUUGGGUUCGGAAUAACUCAGAGAAAUUUGAGCUAAUACCGGAUGAUGACGUAAGUCCAAAGAUUUAUCGCCCAAGGAUGAGCCCGCGUAAGAUUAGCUAGUUGGUGGGGUAAAGGCCUACCAAGGCGACGAUCUUUAGCUGGUCUGAGAGGAUGAUCAGCCACACUGGGACUGAGACACGGCCCAGACUCCUACGGGAGGCAGCAGUGGGGAAUAUUGGACAAUGG
rnacentral:rRNA from 1 species